rnacentral:rRNA from 1 species
UAGCGGAGGGGGCUAGCGUUGUUCGGAAUUACUGGGCGUAAAGCGCGCGUAGGCGGACCUGCAAGUCGGGGGUGAAAGCCCGAGGCUCAACCUCGGAACUGCCUUCGAUACUGCGGGUCUCGAGUCCGGGAGAGGUGAGUGGAAUUCCCAGUGUAGAGGUGAAAUUCGUAGAUAUUAGGAAGAACACCAGUGGCGAAGGCGGCUCACUGGCCCGGUACUGACGCUGAGGCGCGAAAGCGUGGGGAGCAAACAGG